rnacentral:misc_RNA from 1 species
AAGUAACGAGUAAGUUCAAUUUAAUAAUUACUGAUUGCAAUUCCUGCGCUGUAAUAAGUCAGAGUCUAUCGUGUUUUUGCAAAACAUUUUGUUGUUACUAUUAUCACUCUUAAACUGAACAUACUGUUUUAACAAUAAUUACUUAUCGUUAGUGUCCUCGGUAAAAGCUAAAUUUUAAAACACGAAAGAUAGUUCCAAAAAUCAUAAGAAAAAUAAAAUACGUAAGGUUUAAUCAAAGCAAAGGACAAAAAAAGCUUUUUACUGUAACACUUUGAACUUGAAAUUUUAAUAAAAACUGAGUGUGACCAUAGGUAUACAACACUAUUACAUAGGUGUUCAAUUAGAUAAGUGCAUAAGGCAUCAAGCAUCGCCAACCGAAGGGCCAUCGUCGCAAAUUUCCAAGAAAGGAACAUUUAGUAUAUUCAAAAAUUCGGAGUUUAAAACUACUUGGAGACCAUUAGUAGCAUACUGGCUGUUAGGACUUUGCAACAAUUAUGGCUAUGUUGUCAUGCUUACUGCUGCUAAUGAUAUACUCAGUGAGGAAUCAGAAGAGCCAUCGAAUAAUUCAACGGACAACCCCGAGCGCGAAUGUAACUAUAUGUCCACGGGAGCCAUAUUGUUAGCAGAUAUCCUGCCGUCCCUAUUAAUUAAAAUUACGGCCCCUUUCCUGCCUUUUUUUGUCAAGUAAUGACUAAAUUUUUACUUCGAGAUAUUA